rnacentral:rRNA from 1 species
CCUACGGGUGGCAGCAGUGGGGAAUAUUGCACAAUGGGGGAAACCCUGAUGCAGCGACGCCGCGUGAGUGAAGAAGUAAUUCGUUACGUAAAGCUCUAUCAGCAGGGAAGAAACACUGACCUUACGGUCAGCAGACGGUACCUGAGUAAGAAGCGCCGGCUAACUACGUGCCAGCAGCCGCGGUAAUACGGAGGGGGCAAGCGUUAUCCGGAUUUACUGGGUGUAAAGGGAGCGUAGACGGUGCGCCAAGUCUGGAGUGAAAUGCCGCAGCUUAACUGCGGAACUGCUUUGGAAACUGGCGAACUAGAGUGCGGGAGGGGUAAGCGGAAUGCGUGGUGUAGCGGUGAAAUGCGUAGAUAUUAGGCAGAACACCGAUGGCGAAGGCGGCUUACUGGACCGUAACUGACGUUGAGGCACGAAAGCGUGGGGAGCAAACAGGAUUAGAUACCCUUGUAGUC